UUUCGAGCUUUAAAAUAUUUUUCCAAAUUAUUUUCAAGGCUCGAUAAUUGUUUAUGAAUGAUUUCAAGUCCAAUUUCAAGUAUUUGGGACUUGAUUAUUUAUCCGAAAAGUGAUUCUUUUAUCGAUUUUAAUUCCGAAAAAUGUUUAAAAAUUCCAGAAAAUUCCCGAAAAAUCAUUUUUAACCCAAGAGUUGAUUUGAUAUCAAUUGGGGUGGGAAACCUUAUGUGUAAUGUGUUGUCUGCUAUCUGUUUGAUGUGUUAUGUGCCGAUAGAGGAGUUAGAAAACGGUUUUGAUCAUAACUUUUGAUCCGUAAGUCGGAAUCAAGUGAAACGAAAGAGAGACAGAAGCUUAUAAAGUCUAGUUUGAUAUGACAUAAUAUUAUGAUGGAGUCGAGAAUCUGAAUAAUUUUUGUUAAAUGUGCAAAAUGUGAUUAUAUGUUAUUUGGUUGCUAUUAACUAAUGACUACGUGAUAUACAUGUUUAUUCAUGAUAGUAUAUGCGUGUGAUAAAUGAUUUGGAUGACAUAGUGUCGUGAGUUGAUUGAUAUUGGAUAAGAAUAUAUGGAUUAUAGUGAUUGGAUCUUGUUGGUUGAUUGUUGAUUGAGAUAGGAUAACAGGUGGAUAGUCUAAUAAAUAGACGAGACGAUGUCGGAUUUUCGAUAGGAUUCAUAUGAUAAGUGAUUGGUAAUAUGUUAUGUGGAAUAUGACUUGACUAUAUGGUAGAGUCAAAGCAUGAUUACGUGUUAAGUGAUAUGUGAUAAGUUUAAAGGGGUAUAUAAGUGGGUAUCGAUAUACGUGAUAUGUAUAUGCGAUAUAUUGUUUAGUGACUAUAGUAUUAUCUUAUUCUCGUAAAGGAUUUGGACGAGACGUGUACGCUCGAAGACGUCAGAAAGUCGGAAUGGUAUUGCAAAGCGAAUAAGGGAUGAAUCGAGUAAGCGAAGCGAAGUGGCGAAUAGAGUAUAGCUAGAGAUGGUCUAGAGAUUACGAGAUGCAUAGAUUGUGAAAGUUGAAAGAUGAGGUUGAGCUGUGAAACUGGAGUCAGAUUUAAGGCAAGUAUCCUAAACCUUUCUCUUGGAUAUAUUGCAAAUAUUCUGAUCCAUUCCUUUGGUAUAUGUUUCAAGUAUUCAUACCUUUCUUUUCAAUGUUCUUCUGACCCAUUCUUUCUAAUCUUCAAGUUUCUAAAGAAUUUCCGUUUUACAAAUUAAUUCGAAGUUCAGAUUGUCAUUGAAGCAUGUGUUGCUCAGUGGUAGUUAGAGCUUUGAAUGAAUUGGGAUCUUCUUGAUUAUUCAACCCGCCAUUGUCAUGCUGGUUUAGCAGGCUAAAUUCAGUAAACUUAGCCGAUAAUGGAGGAUACUGAAUAGUUAGGGAUUUCCUGCGAUAAUGGAGGAUACUGAAUAGUUGAGGAUUUCCUGAACUGUGAUUUAUGAAAUGAUGGAUCAUGAUUUAUGAAUAGAUUAUUAUCAAAGUUUGAAUUGGAAUUAUUCUGUUGUUGAUAAUAUUUAUGAUGAUGUUCUGUUAAUUUACAUUGGCUUCUUGAAUUGAAUUAGAGAAUUGGAUUAUUGUUUUUAUAUACUCAUUGAUAUUGAUUGGGUUUAUGUUCUGUUGACCUGUUAUCGAAUUAGAGAAUUGGAUUAUUGUUUUUAUAUAAAUCUGUGGACCAGAUGAGUGGUCAUGUUAGGCCAAUGAGUGCCUUGGAUCCAGUGAUAGAGCAUGGCGGGGCCUGCUCGGGGUUAGUGCGGAACUGAUCAGCUGCCUAACCUUGGUUUUAAUUAAAAUGUGAUAGUCCAAUUCAAUAAUUCUUUGGAAAGAUUGAAUUUCUCAGUUUAAAUGCUGCAAGGUAUUGUAAAUCAUUCUAUACAAUACCAUGAACUCAUGAACUCAGGUUGAAUCCUCUUAUAUCUUGAACUCGUGAACUUCUGUUAUAUCAUUUCAGAACUAUCAUUGUUUAUUAUUACUUGCUGAGCAUUGUUGCUCACCCUUGCUAUUCCUUUCUAACCAUUUCAGAAAGGCUUAAAGAUGAGAUGAUUGAUUGAGAUUGUGAGUAAGGCUAAUGCUAGGCGAGGAGACAGAGUUGAGGAUCCAGUGGUCGAGGAGUGUUCAGGAAAGUUGAUGAGGUUGGUGCAAGCUAGAGCUGUGCUAUAGAGAUUCAAGUGUAAGUCAUAGCUGGAAUAGUUGACAGUGAUUCUUCUUAUCGAAGAUGAUCUGAUUUGGUAAGAGAUGUUGUGUAAUAAUAGUGGUAGAUUCUAAUUUCAAUACUGUAACCUGGAUGCGAUCCUGUUGCUUUUAGGGGGUUUAAAUGUUCUCUUUCGAAUCAUUUAUUAAAGUUUAAAUGUUCUCUUGAAAUUCUCCUAUUAUGGCUUUCAAGUUUGAAAUUCAGGUUUUGAAAUCAUUCGAUUUAUGUUCUCAUUCAAAUCUUUUAUUAAAUGUUUUCAGGUUUUAAAUUCUCUGAUUUUAUUAUCUUUAAAUAAAAAAAUAAAAAAAAAAUUUACAGGUUUUCGAAAGUGUUUUAAAAAGGUUUUUAUUUGCAAAUAAGGAUAAUGCUAGGCGAGGAGACAGAGUUGAGGAUCCAGUGGUCGAGGAGUGUUCAGGAAAGUUGAUGAGGUUGGUGCAAGCUAGAGCUGUGCUAUAGGGAUUCAAGUGUAAGUCAUAGCUGGAAUAGUUGACAGUGAUUCUGCUCACCCUUGCUAUUCCUUUCUAACCAUUUCAGAAAGGCUUAAAGAUGAGAUGAUUGAUUGAGAUUGUGAAUAAGGCUAAUGCUAGGCGAGGAGACAGAGUUGAGGAUCCAGUGGUCGAGGAGUGUUCAGGAAAGUUGAUGAGGUUGGUGCAAGCUAGAGUUGUGCUAUAGGGAUUCAAGUGUAAGUCAUAGCUGGAAUAGUUAACAGUGAUUCUUCUUAUCGAAGAUGAUCUGACUUGGUAAGAAAUGUUGUGUAAUAUUAGUGGUGGAUUCUAAUUUCAAUACUGUAACCUGGAUGCGAUCCUGUUGUUUUAGGGGGUUGAAAUGUGCUCUUUCAAAUAUUUUAUGAUGGCUUUUAUAGGGGACACAAGGUAUACCUGUCUGUGUGAUAGGAGUUGGAUGGGACGCCAUCACUUGUGUGUGUUGUGAUUACAAGAAGGUUAACAACCUUUAGUAGUGUCUAAUAUGGACACGCAACAUUAAGUUCAUUUGAUCGUAUGGAUCUCCCAGUCACUCUUGUAUUCCAAUGUGGCGUAUUUUGAAAAUAUCUUGUUCCUCCGAAAUUUCCAAAAGAUUGAUUCUUGGGAAAUGAAGUUUGCAAUUGUAAAAGUUUUGAUUCUCCUAUUUCUUUAACUGUAAAGGUAUGCCAAGGUUGAUUAAGGGCGGAUGAGCAUGUGAUAUUAUGAAGUGUGUACAAUGAUUUUACAAAUGAUACGUUUUAGUUUUUUCGCGGAUUCCGAGGGCGGAAUCCUUAUAAGGGGGGAAGAAUGUAAUAUCCCAUAUUAUUAAAUUUAGAUUUGAUUAUUAUAAAUCUAUUUGUCUAAAUAUAAUUGUUGGCUUUAAUGGAAUAGUGAUCUGAUUAUGUGAAUAGUGUGUAUGUGAUUAUAUUUGUUAUGUGGAUCAAUAUGGAUUAUACUAAUUAUGCGUUCUCCUUCUUUCUCUGAUUCCGAGGACGGAAUCCCUAUAAGGAGGGUAAAUUGUAAUGACCCGGAUUUUUAAAAAUAUUUUUAUUAGUAUUAAAAGUGAUUUUCUUCAAAGAAGGGAAUAAGAUUUAAUAUUUUAUUCCAGUUUAAGGAGUUUUCAAAAUUUUAUAUUAAACCCCGGGUUAUUGUGUUAGUGAUAAAUGAUUAUAUUUUUAAAACUGAUUUUCAUAUAUUGUUUCGAAAAUUCUGUAUGAAUAUUAUGUGAAUAUAUGUGUGAUGUGAGUAAGUGGUAUUGGUCGAUUUGUUGGUUAAUUAAUUAUGGUUAAUUAUUAAUAUUAUAUGAUUAAUAUAUGAAUUUUUGUGAAUUUUGUAUUAUCUAGUUUACAGAGCUGAAUGCUCAUAUGUGUUCGUAUUUGAGAGAUUUCAAUUUCUAUAUGUUCAGGAGAAAAUAUAGUUUAGUUGGAUAUUUUCAUAUCGAUUUAUGGAAUGUUAGAUGAUUUUAUAAUCGAUUUACGGAUUUAAUUGCGUAUAUUUAUAUUUAUUUAUUAAUUAUUUGACUUCCGUAAAACCGUCCACUCGUAACGAUGUAGCAAAUUUUCUUCCCGAAAGUUUCAACAAAACUGACCUUUAGCCUAAUUUGAAUAUUCCGGACACUUUUCGUGUUUUGACUUUUUCGAUCCGGAGUACGGUUUUCCCCGGAGUCGGUCCGGCGGAGUUUUUCGGGUAUUUUAAUUGUUGAUAAUUAUCCAGUUUGUCUCGAUAAACGUGAAACGAGAUAUUUUGAUUAUUAUACUCAUCCUUAUCUUGUAAUAAUUGCAAUGGGACCCGCAGACCAAUAAUUGAGUUAAAAAGCCCCGUUUUGAUGAUUAUCUUGAAAACCAGUACCGAUUGGACCCCGCUUUAUUAAUAUAAAGCUAUUAAAUACGUAUUUUCAUGUCAUAUACGAUCCAAAGGGGUACCAAUUAUUUGUAAAUAUAAAUAGACCUUUCUAGAGCUUAUUUUCACCCGUAAAAUCAUUUCACCAGUUUCUUUCCACGAAUACCGAGAGAAACCGAGCGGUGUUCUUCGUGUUCUUCAUAAUCAAACGAAGAUUUGAAGGUGUUAUUGGAAUCCGAUGGAGGCGUAUAAAUAGUCAAAACGAAGCUCUUGACGAGUAGAAUCUAGUAUAAUCAUCCGUUUAUAUGCAGAUUGAACAGGUGAUUUUAUUUGAUUUUUAUAAAAUUCGAAUUAUUAAGAUUUAAAUAGUGGAUUUUUGCAAACGUGUUUGUUUGAUUGUUUUGAUGAUUCCAUGUUGUAGUACAUGUUUUUCUCGUCGUUUUGGUAUAUUAUAUGUUGAAUUUCGAGUUCGGAAUCAUAUAGAAAAGUCAGUUUGAUUAUUGGGUUGUGUUCUUGAGUGUUCUUGAAGGUUUGCAAUCGAUUUUGGGGGUUUUUAAUCUGUUAAAUCUGGAUGUUAUUCGAAGGCACCAACACGUUUAGUGCACUGAGUAGAGUUGAUUGGUAGCUUCAGAUUGAGUGGAGGUGGUCGGAGGAGGCCUUGCCGGAGUCCGGCAGUCGAGAAUGAAGGAUGGAAAUCCGGCCAUUUGGCCUCGUUUCUUCAAAUUUUAAGCUGUAGAAUGAGUUUGUGGUGGUGUAUUUAUGGUAUCUGGAGUUGCUGGUGAUUAACGGAGGCCGGGAACAGUAGUUCCGGCGAGUCAAGGGGGCGGCGAUGGAAAAUUUCCAUUUAGCCCCCAGACUUUUGAAGAUGGUGAAGUGUGUGUAUCAUGGUUUCAAAACUUACACAACGGCCCCUGUAACUUUGAAAAGUUACAGUUUAAACCUUGGGCCAAAACUUUCAAAAGUUUACAAAAUAAACCUUUUGAUUUAAUUUUCUAAAAUUGUUUUAUUUAAUUAUUUUAAAUUCCAAAAAUAGUUUUUAAUUAUUUCUUUAUUCAAAAAUAAAUCUAAAUUAGUUUAUUAAUUAAUUUUAAUUAGUAAUUAAUUAUUUUAAUUGGUCAAUUAAUUUAAAUAUUAAUUGAUUAAUUAUUUUAAUUAAUUAUUAAUUGAUUUUAAUUGAUUAAUUAAUUGGAUUUAAUUAAUCCUUUUUGAUUUAAAAAUUCCGAAAAAUAGUUUCGAGCUUUAAAAUAUUUUUCCAAAUUAUUUUCAAGGCUCGAUAAUUGUUUAUGAAUGAUUUCAAGUCCAAUUUCAAGUAUUUGGGACUUGAUUAUUUAUUCGAAAAGUGAUUCUUUUAUCGAUUUUAAUUCCGAAAAAUGUUUAAAAAUUCUGGAAAAUUCCCGAAAAAUCAUUUUUAACCCAAGACUUGAUUUAAUAUCAAUUGGGAUGGGAAACCUUAUGUGUUGUGUGUUGUCUGCUAUUGGUUGGAUGUGUUAUGUGCCGAUAGGAGAGUGAGAAAACUGUUUUGAGCAUAACUUUUGAUCCGUAAGUCGGAAUCAGGUGAAACGAAAGAGAGAAGGAAGCUUAUAACGUCUAUUUUAAUAUGAUGUGACUAUAUGGCUGAGUCUAUAAGGUGGAUAAUUGUUGAUAAGUAUGCAGAAUGUGAUAAUAUGUGAUCUAAGUGCUAUCAAGUGAUGAUUAUGUGAAGUACGUGUUAGUUUUGAUAUUGUGAAGUGAUAAAUGAUUCGUAUGAUUGAUAUUGGAUAAGAAUAUAUGGAUUAUAGCUAUUGGAUUUUGUUGGUUGAUUAAUGAUUGAGAUAGGAUAAUAGGUGGAUAGUCUUAUACAUAGACGAGACGAUGUCGGAUUUUCGAUAAGGAUUUAUAUGAUAAUUGAUUGGUGAUAUGUUAUGUGGAAUAUGAUUGACUAUAUGUUAGAGUCAAAGCAUGCUUAUGUGUUACGUGGUAUCUGAUAAGUUUAAAGGGGUAUAUAAGUGGGUAUCGGUAUACGUGAUAUGUAUAUGCGAUAUAUUGUUUAGUGACUAUAGUAUUAUCUUAUUCUCGUAAAGGAUUUGGACGAGACGUGUACGCUCGAAGAGGUCAGGAAGUCGAAAUGGUAUUGCAAAGCGAAUAAGGGAUGAAUCGAGUAAGCGAAGCGAUGUGGCGAAUAGAGUACGGCUAGAGAUGGUCUAGAAAUUAUAAUAUGGAUAGAUUGUGAAAGUGGAAACAUGAGAUAGAGAUGUGAGACUGGAGUCAGAUUUAAGGCAAGUAUCCUGCACCCUGCUUUUGGAUAUAUUGCAUAUUCUGAUCCAUUCUUUUUAUAUGUGUUGCAAGUAUCCUAAACCUUUCUCUUGGAUAUAUUGCAAAUAUUCUGAUCCAUUCCUUUGGUAUAUGUUUCAAGUAUUCAUACCUUUCUUUUCAAUGUUCGAAAGUGCGAGUAUUCUGACCCAUUCUUUCUAAUCUUCAAGUUUCUAAAGAAUUUCCGUUUUACAAAUUAAUUCGAAGUUCAGAUUGUCAUUGAAGCAUGUGUUGCUCAGUGAUAGUUAGAGCUUUGAAUGAAUUGGGAUCUUCUUGAUUAUUCAACCCGCCAUUGUCAUGCUGGUUUAGCAGGCUAAAUUCAGUUGCUUAGCCGAUAAUGGAGGAUACUGAAUAGUUGAG
rnacentral:lncRNA from 1 species